rnacentral:rRNA from 1 species
GACGAACGCUGGCGGCGUGCUUAACACAUGCAAGUCGAACGGUGAAGGGACCGGUUUUUGCUGGUUCUGGAUGAGUGGCGAACGGGUGAGUAACACGUGAGUAACCUGCCCCCUUCUUCUGGAUAACCGCAUGAAAGUGUGGCUAAUACGGGAUAUUCUGCGCCUGCUGCAUGGUGGGUGUGGGAAAGAUAUUGUUUCGGUGGGGGAUGGGCUCGCGGCCUAUCAGCUUGUUGGUGGGGUGAUGGCCUACCAAGGCGGUGACGGGUAGCCGGCCUGAGAGGGUGGACGGUCACACUGGGACUGAGACACGGCGCAGACUCCUACGGGAGGCAGCAGUGGGGAAUAUUGCACAAUGGGCGCAAGCCUGAUGCAGCGACGCCGCGUGAGGGAUGGAGGCCUUCGGGUUGUAAACCUCUUUCGCCAGUGAAGCAGGCCUGUCCCUUUUGUGGGUGGGUUGACGGUAGCUGGAUAAGAAGCGCCGGCUAACUACGUG